AUGGGUCGUCAUGAUGGCAUCAACGUCCCCGAUGACAAGUUCUACCUAGGACAUGUUGGCUAUUCAUGCCAGCCAUGUGUUCUUCCACCCUUCAGAAAAACCAAGUAUCAUCUGAACGAGUUCUCUGGUAGGAACUAUCCCAGGAAUCCUCAAGAACUAUUCAAUCUCGGACACUCCAUCCUUAGAGUAAUGGUUAAGAGAUAAUUUGGAGCUGUGAAGAAUAGAUUUAAGAUUCUGGGUCAAAAGUCAUUCCACCCUUACCCUAUUCAGGUCAAGCUUGUUCUUGCAUGUUGCAUCAUUCACAACUGGAUCCUGAAAUGGGGAGUUGACGAACUUGUGCUGGAGGAGGAAGAUGUGACUCCUGAUGAGGUGAUCUUGUAA
rnacentral:rRNA from 1 species